GGGGAGCAUGGGAUCCUGGGCUGUGUCCCUCGGAGCCCUGGGCUCCCGGGCCUGCACCACUGGAAUCGCACUCCCUGGACCUGGCAGCCCCCC
rnacentral:pre_miRNA from 1 species